GAUGAACGCUGGCGGCGUGCCUAAUACAUGCAAGUCGAACGCAUUGAGAAAAGUGCUUGCACUUUUCAAUUUGAGUGGCGAACGGGUGAGUAACACGUGGGCAACCUACCUGAUAGCGGGGGAUAACGUGUGGAAACAUUCGAUAAUACCGCAUAACAAUAGAGAAGGCAUCUUCUUUAUUUAAAAGGCGCUUUAAAGCGUCACUAUCAGCUGGGCGCGCGGUGCAUUAGUUAGUUGGUGGGGUGAUGGCCUACCAAGACGAUGAUGCAUAGCCGAGUUGAGAGGCUGAUCGGCCACAUUGGGACUGAGACACGGCCCAAACUCCUACGGGAGGCUGCAGUAGGGAAUCUUCCACAAUGGACGAAAGUCUGAUGGAGCAACGCCGCGUGUGUGAUGAAGGCUUUCGGGUCGUAAAGCACUGUUGUAUGGGAAGAAAUGCUAGGCUAGGAAAUGAGCUUAGUUUGACGGUACCAUACCAGAAAGGGACGGCUAAAUACGUGCCAGCAGCCGCCGUAA
rnacentral:rRNA from 1 species